rnacentral:rRNA from 1 species
UAUGUGAUCGUCUCUCGCAUAUCAAUAAGCGGAGGAAAAGAAAAUAACAAGGAUUUCCCUAGUAACGGCGAGUGAAGCAGGGAAGAGCUCAAAGUUGGAACCUGCUUGACUUAGUUAAGCCGGAUUGUAAACUGUAGAAACGUUUUCUAGGCAAGCCGAGUUAAAAAGUCCUUUGGAACAGGGCAUCAUAGAGGGUGAGAAUCCCGUAUUUGACCUUUACUUUCAACUUUGUGAUACACUUUCAAAGAGUCGGAUUGUUUGGGAAUGCAGUCCAAAAUGGGUGGUAAAUUUCAUCUAAAGCUAAAUAUUGGCGAGAGACCGAUAGCGAACAAGUACCGUGAGGGAAAGAUGAAAAGAACUUUGAAAAGAGAGUUAAACAGUACGUGAAAUUGUCAAAAGGGAAGCGUUUGACACCAGUGUUGUUUUUCUGAAAAUCAAUUAAAGAACUGUUUAUGCUAAGCUGUUUAGACUUUAUCAGCUAUCUGUUUAGUUUUGAGCUUUUCUUUAAUGCACUUUUCAGUUAACAAGUCAACAUCAAUUUCUUUUGCUGUAAAAAAGCUUGAGGAAGGUGGCUUGAGAUUCGUCUUAAGUGUUUAUAGCCUCUUGCCCUAUGCAGUCGGAGAGAUUGAGGUCUGCAGCGUAGAUCCUUCGGGGCUAAAUGCAUUUGUGCUAAGUUAUAGCAUUUUAUAGACAACUUGUUGACUAUGAUUUGUCUUGUAGCUUACUCGCUUAUGUUAUUUUACCUACGCUUAGGAUGUUGAAGAUAUGCGCGACACG